CUUCUGAGUCUGACGGGCUGGUGGAGUGUGAGCGUGGCUCCUAAAUUUCUUGGGUAGGACUGAAGAAGCACUUUUAAGAUGUGGAAACUCAGAGAGGAUGCCACUGUUUUGAACUAUUUUGAAGGCACAGCCACCAGAGCUUUAGGGACAGGGUAUUUUAUCACAGCAACAGAAAUGAAACCAAAACAACUCCACAAUAAAAUUCUUGAGUUUCUUGGGGCCAAGAAGAUGACACGAUAAGAUAAAGACACUGGCCAAGCAUGACCUCCAGAGUUUGGCCCUUGCAUAAAGGAGAAAAUUAAUUCCUUCAGUUGUUCUCUGACCUCCACAUGCGUCCUGUAACAUGGGUGUAUGCAUACACAUAAACACACAUCCACACGUUGUUAAAUAAAUAAAAAAAAUAUGUUAACAGUUAAAAA
rnacentral:lncRNA from 1 species